CUCCCCUCUAUUUAGCUUCGUGUAGAGAGAGAGAGAGAGGUCUUCUAGCUGCAACUCUCCAUCUCUCUCACUCUCCCACCCGGUUGGAAGCAAGGAAGGAGCUUACUUGGAGUUUCGUCGCCGACGUCGCGCCGCGGGAUCGUUCGAGCACGUAUUUGACGCCGGGACUUUGCGAGAAGACCGGGCGAGCGUGCGACUACGCUGUUCUUGACGUCGUGCUGGUGCUUGUCGCUGUCGAGUAUUUCAGCUCGUUCUCGACGUAGGAGUAUCGGAUUACGACGAGACUUGGCUCUUUGGAUUCAGGACUUCGAGAGGAAUCCACGAAGCCCUUACUUGCUGGAUUUGGUGAAGAGCUCGAGCGUGGACGAUUUCUGGACUCGGAGCUGUGCGUUUGAUCCAGCAAGUUGCUCUACACCAGUGGGAGUCCUUCGUUGCCAAGGAUUAGCAUUUUAGGUGGGUUACAUCGGCUUUACUCCUAAGUUCUUAUUGGUCGACAUGUAUAGAUCUUGAUUUCGGUAAUUGUGUUAGCUCAAAUUCAUGGACUAUAUGUAGAUUGUGAAAUCUGGAUUUUGGAGCAUGAUUUAUAAAUUAAGUAGAUUAUACAUGUUGGACUUGGAAAUUGAAUUAGGAGAAAACCUGCGAUUUGGACCUGUCACCAGUUUUAACUACCUGAUUUAGCUCUAGGAGCCGUUAGAAAAUUGUACUCUCGCAGUUUCUUCGAGACGAGUACUCCAGGUAGUUUAGAAUGUAUUUACACUCGUGCUGGUUCGUCGAGUGGAUUUUUAUAGGGUCAUUCAGGUCGUUUCGGACUGUUGGGUGCCGUCAGAGUCGACGGUGGACCCGUAUCGCCUUUUUGGCGUCAGAUUGUGCC